UACGAAGGGGGCUAGCGUUGCUCGGAAUCACUGGGCGUAAAGGGUGCGUAGGCGGGCCUUUAAGUCAGGGGUGAAAUCCUGGAGCUCAACUCCAGAACUGCCUUUGAUACUGAAGAGCUUGAGUUCGGGAGAGGUGAGUGGAACUGCGAGUGUAGAGGUGAAAUUCGUAGAUAUUCGCAAGAACACCAGUGGCGAAGGCGACUCGCUGGACAUGUAUUGACGCUGAGGUACGAAAGCGUGGGGAGCAAACAGG
rnacentral:rRNA from 1 species